rnacentral:tRNA from 1 species
GGAGAAAGCUCAGUGGCAGAGUGUGUGCCUAGUGUGCACGAGGUCCUGGGUUCAAAUCCCCAGUACCUCCA